rnacentral:tRNA from 1 species
GUGCCCGUAGUUUAAUGAACAGAACUCUCGAUUCCGAUUCGAGCAGAUACAGGUUUAAGUCCUGUCGGGCGCACCA